rnacentral:rRNA from 1 species
GACGAACGCUGGCGGCGUGCCUAAUACAUGCAAGUCGAACGCAGUGGGGACGGGUGAGUAACACGUGGGUAACCUCCCAUCAGAGGGGAUAACACUUGGAUACAGCUGCUAAACCGAUACUGAUGGAUGGCCCCGCGGUGCAUUAGCUAGUUGGUGAGGUAACGGCGCACCAAGGCAACGAUGCAUAGCGGACCUGAGAGGGUGAUCGGCCACACUGUGACUGAGACACGGCCCAGACUCCUACGGUAGGCAGCAGUAGGGAAUCUUCGGCAAUGGACGAAAGUCUGACCGAGCAACGCCGCGUGAGUGAAGAAGGUUUUCGGAUCGUAAAACACUGUUGUUAGAGAAGCGGUAUCUAAAGAGAAAGCCACGGCUAACUCCGUGCCAGCAGCCGCGGUAAUUC